GACGAACCGUGCGAACGUUAUUCGGAAUCACUGGGCUUAAAGGGCGCGUAGGCGGGUUGCCAAGUCUGUGGUGAAAUCCUCCAGCUUAACUGGAGAACGGCCGUGGAUACUGGCGACCUCGAGGGGGGGUAGGGGCUUGCGGAACUGUGCGUGGAGCGGUGAAAUGCGUUGAUAUGCACAGGAACUCCGGUGGCGAAGGCGGCGAGCUGGACCCUUUCUGACGCUGAGGCGCGAAAGCCAGGGGAGCGAACGGG
rnacentral:rRNA from 1 species